rnacentral:lncRNA from 1 species
CGCUGAACGAGGGGCGCGGGGGCCGGAGUAUGCGUGCAUGCGUGCUUACGUGCGCGCCUGCCCUGGUGGCUAGGAGGGGGUCGGUUUGCGCUUGGGGCGCCUCCGCCACCGUUCCCAGUCGUGACUCUGUAGGCGGAAGCGUGGAGACGAACCUGAGCGUCACAGGCUCCACACACGUACACACACACACACACAAAACCGCGUGACCUGGGGACUUUCCCUGGUGUGUGCAAAAGCAUGGGCACCUCCUCUGUUCGGGGAUGGGGGUGGGGAAGGAUGCGCCGCGUGUUCACGGGGAGAGGGGUGAGGGCGCAAGGCCAGGGAAGCUGAGCCGCGGGAGCCUGGGAGGGGAGGCUAGUUAGGUGGGGUGGGGCAUGGCGGGGGAAGUGACUCAAGGCCGGAGGCCGACAGGCCCUUGGAAGGCGGGGUGGGGGAGCGCGGGGAAUGGGCGACCCUGAACGGACUGGCCCCGCACGGGACAGGGUGAGAGUGCCGGCGCCCCCAGAACGCCGGGGACGUACCGCGAGGGAGGGCCCAGCUGCUGGGUCCUCCCGGGCAGGGGUCUGACAUCUGGACGGAGUGGGAAAGCAGCAUCCUGCCCUUGGGGAGUCGGGAGGAGCCCAGUCCCAUCCAGCUGUGCAAACAGGAGGAGGAGGUCCCAAGCCUACCCUUGGGAGAGGAGCGAGAGGGGUGGUCAAGCCGCCGCCGCGCCGGCCCCCGCGGUGCGGGUUGCGCCAGCCUCCUCGGAGCCCGACGCAGAAACUUGUUGCAACAAACAGGCGACCGCGGGUGCCCCUAGCAGCCAGCGGCGGAGUGGGUGGGCGGGCGAGAGGGAGGGGAAGGCUGGCGGACGCCGCAGCGAACUGGUGGGCAGACCCGGAGUCGCCGCGUAAGCGGGGCCGGCUCAGUGCGGUGCGGCAGGCGCGGCUGUGCGGCAGCGGAAGUCCUUUGUUGCAGCACAGUCCCUGACAGAGCCAGAACCUCUCCGCGCAGCCCAGCCCGUGCGCCGCGCGUCGCCUCCACUGCAGUUCGCGGCCCCGUCGCCUCCGCCCGCCUUUCCCGUGUCCGAUUUGCCUUAAACUCCCUAAAAUCUCCGCAACCCUGGUUCCUGCUGCGGCCGGGAAUCUUGGAGUCAGUGAGGAUGAAGAAGUUACCCAAGGUGGCAAAGCUGAAUUGGAACUCAGAUCCAAAGCCUGUGCUCCUUUCCCUGUACAGACUGUCCUCAACAAUACAAUGUCCCUGCAUCCGCACAGGCAUUCACUAGCCUCUGAAUGAGUUUGUUCCAUUUUAAACAACUCUUUCUCUACUAGAAAAAAAUUUUUUGAGAGAUUAUUCCUCUUCCUCUUUCUCUUUGAUUUAUUAUUUAUUAAAGCCUACAAAAUGCUUAUAGACCUAGAAAUCUCAUCCUACAUAAAAUAGGCUUGGGGAUCAACAUUUUUUUUUUUUUAAUUUAUUGGGGUGACAAUUGUUAGUAAAAUUACAUAGAUUUCAGGUGUGCAAUUCUGUAUCACAUCAUCUAUAAAUUACAUUGUGUGUUCACCACCCAGAGUCAGUUCUCCUUCCAUCACCAUAUGGGGAUCAACAUUUUUGUGUGUGUGUGUAUGUAUGUAUGUGUGUGGGGGGAUUGGGUUGGGUUUUUUUCAUUUUUUUUAACCUUCGAAUAAGGUUUUGUUGUCAUUUGGAUUUGUUUUAUAUAAUGAUAAUUGUUACAUAAUUUUGUGUCCUGUGUGUAUUUACUUGACUUUCUAUCCUAAAAACUUUUCUCAUUUUCUUCUACAGUCUUCAUUUAUAAAUAUAGUUUUUAAAGACCACAAGACAGUGAAUUUUAGGGUAUGGAUUUACCUUGGUUUACUUACAAGUCCCUUUUACCAGGCAUUUCCAUUUGUAAAUAACACGUUGAUGAAUAUCUUUGUACAUAUAUUGCAUUUUGUAUGUAGGAACAUACCGAACGUGAUUCCUUACAGUUUU